rnacentral:misc_RNA from 1 species
UUUUCAGUUUCGCUACCCUCUUCAUCUUCCUAUCUAGAGUUUAAAAGCAUACUUUAAAGAUGAGAAUCAAUGUAGAUGUGAAUUUCAAGUGUCAGCCGAUUGCAAAGGAAGGUCUACGGUUACUCCAUACAAUUUUGUUGAUCUGAGAUUUGUCACACUUCUUUAUCACUUCCAAAUCUCUUCUAAAUCACAACAGAGAGGGCUGCAAAAAUAUUAUUUAGAUAAAAAGCAUUUUGAAGUUUAUCUAUAGAUGAUCGGCUUUAGUUAUAUGUACACUUUGAAAGUAGAACAUGCCUCUCGAAGUGGACUACGAGAAAGAAUUGGUGAGGACGUAGAAAAAGAUGAAGCAAAAUCUGAAAUCUAAAUCUCCCUCUACUACAACUUUGAAGAUAAAGCGCAAGAACUCCUACACGAUUAGGUAAUCCAUAUGUCUCUGGUUUUGUCUUUAAUUUGAUCAUCUCUACUACGUGAAGUUGUAGUUUAUUUGUAAGUUUUGAUUGACCUUGUUGGUAAGAUUUUCAUCUAUUCAUUCCUUUUAAAGAUACAUUGGAGGUAAUUUAUAAAAAAAGUAAUGUCCACAUCUUACCUCUAGCUUUAUGUUAUUCGGCUCUCCUCUUCUUUCCACAAUCAGAGAGGCUAAAAAGAAACAGAUAAAAAUAAUAAUAAAAAAUAAAUAAAAUAAAAAGAAACAGAUUACGUUUUGUUGCAGAUAUACAUUGGAUCUAUAAAGUUUUGAAAGUGAGAUGCAGUGUUGAAAAAUCAGAACCAGUGAAUGAAGAUGUGGAAGAAGAAGGUCAACAAUGGAGAAAGGGGAACUUGAAAAUCAAGCAUAGUCAAAAUAUACUCUUUGAAGAAACUACAAACGAGACUAGAGCGUGAGAAGGUUAAAAGAACAAACUAGAUAUAGCAGAAACUACAAACUAGAUAUCCAUAUAACACUUGUACAUGUUUGAACCGAAAUGUGUUAAAAAGAGUAUAUACUAAACGAGAU